AUUGAACGCUGGCGGCGUGCUUAACACAUGCAAGUCGUGCGGUAACAGGCGUAGCAAUACGUGCUGACGAGCGGCGAACGGGUGCGUAAUACAUGGGAAUCUGCCUUUUAGUGGGGAAUAACCCGGCGAAAGCCGGGCUAAUGCCGCAUAAGAUCUUCGGGAUGAAAGCGGGGGAUCGUAAGACCUCGCGCUGAUAGAUGAGCCCAUGCCGGAUUAGCAGUUGGUGAGGUAACGGCUCACCAAGGCGACGAUCCGUAGCUGGUCUGAGAGGACGGCCAGCCACACUGGGACUGAGACACGGCCCAGACUCCUACGGGAGGCAGGCAGUGGGGAAUAUUGGACAAUGGGGAAACCCUGAUCCAGCGACGCCGCGUGUGUGAAGAAGG
rnacentral:rRNA from 1 species